rnacentral:rRNA from 1 species
NNNNNNNNNNNNNNCCUCAGGAUAGCUGGAACUUACGGCAGUUUUAUCAGGUAAAGCGAAUGAUUAGAGGUCUUAGGGUUAAAACAACCUUAACCUAUUCUCAAACUUUAAAUUGGUAAGAAGUCCGACUUGCUUAAUUGAAGCCGGACAGUGAAUGCGAGUUCCUAGUGGGCCAUUUUUGGUAAGCAGAACUGGCGAUGCGGGAUGAACCGAACGCGCGGUUAAGGUGCCAAAGUCGACGCUCAUCAGACCCCACAAAAGGUGUUGGUUGCUCUAGACAGCAGGACGGUGGCCAUGGAAGUUGGAAUCCGCUAAGGAGUGUGUAACAACUCACCUGCCGAAGCAACUAGCCCUGAAAAUGGAUGGCGCUCAAGCGUCGCACCUAUACCGUGCCGUCGGAGCAGAUGCGAAGCUCCGACGAGUAGGAGGGCGUGGGGGUCGUGACGCAGCCUCUGGCGCGAGCCUGGGUGAAACGGCCUCCAGUG